rnacentral:lncRNA from 1 species
GAAUGAGUUACACACAUGCAUCACAUACACAAAGGGGCCAUACUAAUCACAAGAUACAUACAUACAUCCUGCAAAACAGAGUUAGGCGUUCAAACGUACCAAACUUCGGAUGCCCGAAACUCCAUCUUCCAAGCCAAAUUUGGGAAAUCUAAUUUCGCCGAAAAUGGCGAAGCGGUUGAAUUUCAUGUGUAACUUUUUCUGUAGAUCAAUUUUCAUAUAAAAUUCGCCCC